GGGCCUGUGGUCUAGCGGUUACAAAAAGUAAUGCUGCAGAUGACAACACCCUUACACGGUGUAGGUCACCAGUUCGAAUCUGGUCAGGCCCA
rnacentral:tRNA from 1 species